rnacentral:lncRNA from 1 species
CCUUCAUUUUCAAACUUUUUUUUCCUUGUAGAGAAUAAGUUUGGGGGAUGUGGCUGUGUGGGCACUCUUUCUCCUGCUUUUUGUUUGUUUUUUUUUUCAGUUGCUUAUGCAUGUUUUGGUGUUUUCUUUCGUUGUUUUUGGUGUCUUUGUUUCGUUGUUGAGUUUGUUAGUCUUUCUUAGAGGUGUCUCUGUGAUGUUACCUUGAUGGGGAUUCAAGUGUGUAUGGAUUGAUUGGAUGACUGGCUUAUGAUGAUUUAUGCUAAAAUUCUCGAACUACAUGCAUUUUGUGUUGGUAUUGUUGAAGCGAAGCAUGAUUGAUGAGCGACAAUUGUGGUCUCUAUGAUGUUUGUGAUCAAUAAAAUAAGCUGUGAGAUUUUAGCCUUGACUGUCACCUCAUUUACAGUCUUAUUUCUUUUUCUUGAGUGUUUGAUUUAGCAUGCAUGUUUCUAAUUAGAACUUUUUUUGGCUCUCCCUUGAGGUCAUGUAGUGUGCUUAAUAACCUUGAUAUCAUUAAAGGCCAUAUUUGCUAGCCAUUUCACUUCAUUGUUGUCCUUAUACUUGAUAUGAUCCUAGUUUACCCUUUUUUAGCCUAAUUGCCUAUUCGUUUGAUAUAGCCACGAUUAUGGGGAGGGUUUAAACUUGGUGAAUAUUGAAAAUUGUGAAUUAGGUUGAAAAGAUGCGUGAUUAGUCUUGUUCCCUGAUCUAAGAAAAUCUUAGCACCCUUUAAAAAAAAAAAAAAACAGGGCACAAGAUGUUGAUGAGAUGUGGUGAGAGCUAUGUUGAAAAAAAAAAUUGGUUUUGGAAAAUGAGGAUGGGGUGUGAUUUAUAAGAAGCUAUAAGGUUGGUGAUUGCAUUGCUUUUGGGCAUAUCUUUUAGUCAUUUAGCCAAAUAUAUC